rnacentral:tRNA from 1 species
GGGGUUGUGGCUCAAUGGUAGAGCACUCGCCUAGCGCGAGUGAGACCCUGGGUUCGAUCCUCAGCACCA